rnacentral:tRNA from 1 species
GGGCCUGUAACUCAGCUGGGAGAGUACCUGAAUGGCAUUCAGGAAGUCGCGCGUUCGAUCCGCGUCAGGUCCACCA